UACGGAGGGUGCAAGCGUUAAUCGGAAUUACUGGGCGUAAAGCGCGCGUAGGCGGUUUGAUAAGUCGAUUGUGAAAUCCCCGGGCUCAACCUGGGAAUUGCAGUCGAGACUGUCAGACUAGAGUGUGGGAGAGGGUGGUGGAAUUCCCGGUGUAGCGGUGAAAUGCGUAGAUAUCGGGAGGAACAUCAGUGGCGAAGGCGACCGCCUGGCCCAACACUGACGCUGAGGUGCGAAAGCGUGGGUAGCAACAGGA
rnacentral:rRNA from 1 species